AUGAACGCUGGCGGCGUGCCUAAUCCAUGCAAGUCGAGCGAACGGACGAGAAGCUUGCUUCUCUGAUGUUAGCGGCGGACGGGUGAGUAACACGUGGAUAACCUACCUAUAAGACUGGGAUAACUUCGGGAAACCGGAGCUAAUACCGGAUGAUAUUUUGAACCGCAUGGUUCAAAAGUGAAAGACGGUCUUGCUGUCACUUAUAGAUGGAUCCGCGCUGCAUUAGCUAGUUGGUAAGGUAACGGCUUACCAAGGAAACGAUGCAUAGCCGACCUGAGAGGGUGAUCGGCCACACUGGAACUGAGACACGGUCCAGACUCCUACGGGAGGCAGCAGUAGGGAAUCUUCCGCAAUGGGCGAAAGCCUGACGGAGCAACGCCGCGUGAGUGAUGAAGGUCUUCGGAUCGUAAAACUCUGUUAUUAGGGAAGAACAUAUGUGUAAGUAACUGUGCACAUCUUGACGGUACCUAAUCAGAAAGCCACGGCUAACUACGUG
rnacentral:rRNA from 1 species